CCUAGCAAACCACUCCGGAUAAACACACCCACCAAGAUGGUCUCCCAAACAGGUCGCGGGAACAGAAGGCACAGCGCUGGGAGUACAGUCGAUGGCACUGGAAUAGUGUUGUGUGCUGACCGCACUCGGGUGGAAAAAAAUUUUUUUAAUGGAAAAACUUUAAAAAAAGAAAGAAGAAAACGAAGCUCUUUUAGCUCAACUUCCCUUUACCGAUGGGGAAACUGAGGCCCAGAGAGGGAAAGAGGAUACCCGAUAUCACACAGCCAGCCAGCCCGGGUCUCCCGAUUCUCAGACCAACGCCGCUGGGCUAAAAGCAUCAUCAGCUUUGGAGUCGGCCUAUCAGACUUUAAUUAAGCCUCAGUUUCCCCAUCUGUGGAAUGAGGACUGAAAGUGUACCUACUUCUGCCCGAUAGAGAACAGGUUGCCAUAUCCGGAGUGACCCGUCAGGUGCGGACCCUGAGCACGUGGGUAGAAGAGAGCCUCAGAAAGACACGGUUCCGGAUUCACGGAGCCUCGGAUUCCAGUCCGGCUUCACCCCUCAACCAGCUUCCCCGCGUGUAACGUCUCUGGGUGUUUCCUGAGCCGGUCAAGUGGACUGAUUGGCCAACUCAGCCAACGAGUGGGCAGAAUUGGCACUUGACCCUAGCACUUUGAUAUUCAGGUCUGCGAUCUUUCCAGAGUCCCCACGGCUCCUCUCUCCAAGUACAGCCUAGAAAGAGUUAGGCAGCGUGGCCUUUCCAACCUGGAAAGAUAUUCCAAACGUCUGGAAUACAGGUUCUUGAUUUCCAAUCCGGUGGCCACGCAGACAUGACUAAUCAACCACACUCUACAGGAAUCUGGGUUGACUGGGGAUGCCUGCCACGGCACAGGAGGGAAAUGCAGAUUUGCUCUGCCUCGGGUUGGGAGGUCAGAUGCCAUCACGACUGAUCAGAGCUGGCGUGUUUGAGGACGGCUGGGUGAGCCCUGUCUGGGUCAAUGCAGUGCCAAUACCGACUCCGUUUAACUCCACUUAACCAAAAGAGAGAAGCCAGUCCGUUCGCAUCUGAGACGGUUGCACACAAACUGCCACCCGCACACUCGACGGUUUGACAGGGCAGGCUAAUUUCCCUUGUGCCUCCUGACCGGCCCCUGAGCCCCGACUGCAGAGAGGCUGUGGCUCUCGCCGAACUGCCGUGGGCUCUGUGCGGCGUGUCCGUGGCCAUUUCACGUCACCCGCCAGGCAGGAUACAAGGACACUCAAGUGGACCACAGCUUCGGCUGCCCCAGGGCACCAGGAGUAUUUAAGGUGCUCAGAGCUGGGGACGGACCCCAGACACUGCUCCCAGCACAGGCAACACCCAGUGUCUGGGAGCGGGGUGACCUGGUUGUCCCACAAGGCUCCUUGAUUUCAGCCUGCUCAUGGUGGCACCCUCCCCGGGUCUUGAGGAGGCCACCCACUCGUCAGCUGGGCUCCCCGUCCCCAACCCUGGGUGGCCCGCGGAGGCCACCAGGUUUGGAUGGGCCAGGAGGCGUUGGAAACUGCGGCCAUCCUUCCAUUUACGAGAGCCUGCUCCGAGUACCCACGCUCCGUGCACCUGCCACGGGCCUUGCACUGGAUUUUCCCCCGCGUCACACGAGCGUGCGAUUCUGUCUCACAACUCGAACAGAAAACCCCGCAACCGACCCCGUUUCUCUCUCCCGCUCUGCUUCUAUCUCUUCCUCCUUUUGGAGCAAAGAUGCUUAAAAGGACCGCCUGGGCUCGUGCCUCAUUUCUCUCCUGCCACCCUCCCUGGCACCGCCUGGACUUCUCCCCCACCUGCUCUUCUCAAGGUCACCGUAACCUCUGUGCUGUGAACCCCACAGUCCUGUCUGUCACACUCCAUCUUCGUGUGCCCUUCCCGCCCCCUUCUCCUGGUUUCUUCUUCUGUCUCUGGCGGCUCCUUCUAGGUCUCUGCUGAUUUCUCUGAGGAGCGGGCCUCUAGGCAACAGGAACCUGUCCUUCUUUCCCACUGUGUCCUGGUGGCCCGUCCAGCCUCCCGGCUGUGCACAGCUCCAGCCCCGUGCUGUGCAUCUCCAGCCUGGCCGUCGGCCCUGGAGCCCGCUCAGUGCCGAGAGCCUCCCCACACCACCGCCGGGGGUCUAACCACCUCCAACCCAGCACGUCUGAGACGGAGUCCACAGCCAGCCCCCCACACCCUGCUCCGCCUGGCCUCCUCGAACUCAAUCCAGGGGUGGCCUUAGCCUUCCAGUUCCUCUGGCCCCAAACUCCAGAAUCUUCCUGAACUCCACUCCUCUCAGGCCCCACACCCAAUUCCUCAACAAGCCACGUCAGCUUGACAUGUUGCCAGAGUCCGGCCACUUGUCACCACUCCUCGGUCACCACCCUGGCCCGUGUCACCACCAUCCUGUGUCUGCGUCGUGCAGUAGCCUCCUGACUGGUCUCCCAACCCUUCGGUCCCCAUCAGCUCAGCAGGGAGUAGUCCCUUUACGGGGCAAAUCAGAUCACGACUUGCCUGCUCCUCUCCGACGGCUCCAGUCUCAAGGGUGAGCACGGAGUCCCUAGAAUGGUCCAGAAGAGUCACGUGUCUGUCCUCCCCUGCCUUCUCACCUCUCUGCCUUCCUCCCGCCCCCCAUAACCCCACUCCCACCCCACGGCUGCCACCUGGCUCCGUGCUGCUCCCGGUUCACGCGGGUCUGCUCCUUCCUCUGAAUCUGCCCGGAAUGUCCUCCUGCCCGCGUGACCCGCUCCCUCCCAGGUCCUUCCUCAAACGUCACUCUCUCAGCAAAGCCCUCCCUGGACACCCUCCUCACCCCCUUCCCUGUCCGCUCUCCUUAGAGCUCAGCACCACCGAACACUAUGUAUUCUGUGUGUACUGAGGGGAGCACGUCCGCCUUUCUGGGAGGACCUCCCGGCCUUCUCUCCCUGCGAGACUUCGAGAAAGCUUCCGCCUGGCUUUCCAAAGCCCACAGCCCCCGCCUCUACCUGUGGUCUGGAUGCCGGGGGCCAUGCUAGCUCCCUACCUCAAGCCGCGCCCUUCCUGCAUUCUCCAGCUCAGGGGCUCAGGAGGGACCACCCCCCCCAUCCCAGGGCGGAGAGCACAGUGGCACUCGGGGCCCUGCCAGGGUCCAUCGGUCAGAGAAUAAGCACAGGCGGGCACCUAGAAUGCAUAGCAGGGGCAGCCAUUCCGGGACUGAAGGGGGCCCAGCGCAGCCACACCUUCCAACUUUUCCAGAGAUUUCCAAACUCUGGAUUGUCGUAGUCUUUAUGUCUUAAAUGUCUCUCUCUCUUUUUUUUCUUCCCCAAUAUUAGCAAUUAAUCAUGAUACCCAACCGUGACUGUAGGCCUCACAGGGGUGCUGGACCACUGACCUGAGCAGGUGGCUAUAGAAGAUGGAACACAGGACGAUGUGAGCCCACUACAGCUCUGUAGAGUGAGACCAGGGACCAGGCUCUGCAGACAGAAACCUGGGGUUGAAUCCCAGCUCCACUAUUCACUAGCUGGGUGACGUCGGACUCUCAAGAUGGUCCGUCGGGCCCUCUGGAACCCUCAGGAAGGAGGCUGCCUUUGGAGCCCCGACGGUUUGGGAAUCGGUCUCGCCUGGCUUCCCUCCAACAGAGAUACAGCAAGGCUAUUCAAGGUUAGAUGCAGGUGGGAACCUGGCAGCUAUGGUCAGCCUCCUCCUAGACAAGCUCAGGAGAGGGGCAGGAGACCUCUCCAGAGUGCGGAUCCCGGAGCCAGGCUGUCUGGGUUUAAAACCGGUCUUGUCACCGUCUAGAGGGGAGAUCUGGAGCGAGUCACAUCAGCCUGGUUUUUCACAUCUGUACAAGAGGGAUAAAAACAGUUCCUCCCCGUGCAUCCGGGCUCACCGAGGACCUGCACUGAAACACGCACAACGGCACCAUCUGUAAAAGCCCCAAACUGGAAACCACGGGCACAGUCCCUUUGCAGAAGGGGUCCCUUUGCAGGGGUGAAGACUCGAUCUAGUGAGAACCGGCGAACGACGACCACCCCGCCACACGCAACGUGAUGACCCACGAGGACGGCACGCCAAGCCAGGGAAGCCGGACACAAGAGCCGCGUGGCUCCCUUCACAGCACACAAAGGCGGCAAAGUUAACGGACGUGGGGAGAAGUCAGGAAGAGGUUGUCUGCUGAGGGAUACAGACAGGAAGGGGCCACGGGAGGACAUUCAGGAAGCUACUGACGUACCGCCUCUUGAUCUGGGUGCUGGUGUCACACAUGUGUGUCUAGUUGGUGACACUUAAGCACCUGACAUUAAGCAGGUAAACCUGCACUUUGUAUGUAUGUUAUUCUUUAAUAAAAAGCUUUAAAAAUAGCGUCUACUUUGCAGGGCCGGUUUUACAUACGCGUCGCACUCAGAACUGUGUCUAGAGUGGGGGGAGCCCUCAGGAAGUAUCCGCUCUUGUCAUCUGGGGUGGGGGGAGGUGGCCCCCAUGCCACCAGGGGACCCCCCAUGACAUGGGCAGGUCCGAGCGUGGGCGAGGAGAGCAGCUGCUGUGAAUCUGCAGGACCCCUGGGGCUGGGGGAAAGAACGUGACCAUGAACGUGAACUUGGGGUUGUCCUGGGCUCAGAGUCUAGCGCCCUCCCGCACAAAGACGGCACCUUCCGUGCAGGACUGCGGUGAGAAUUAGGGGGAAGAGUUCUGUGAAGGUGCCCAGACCGCGCGCGAGCGAGGAAGGUCGGGGUGGGUGCCCCAGCCCCACGACGCUGAUGAUCACAACAGUGACAGUGGCUAAUAUUUGCUGCGUGUGUACUAGGGGCCGGGUAUUGUUCUGUAUGUUUUCACUACAUUUUCCCUUACAGCGAUCCUGUGAGGUAGUUAGCAUCAGUGAUCCCCAGUUUACAAGUAAGGAAACUGAGGCAGGACGUGGCCCGGGAGCUCUGGCUCUGGGUCCCUGCCUUUAAGCUUGUCCAGGCGGGCAGUGCCUGGUGCCACAUGGCCGCUGUGGAUGCCGGCCUUGGCUGUGGGAGGAGCGGAGCCCGGUGGCCCCAUCGCGUGAGGUCUUACGUCUCCUGCAGACCCCACGGCUCAGUCCUCCUGGGUCUACUGAGCCUCCUGGGUCACCUCACGGACGCAGAAAGGCUGCCGGGAAGCACAGGUCUUAGCCCAGGUGGGGCUCAGGGCAGGACAUCAAAGGUUCGGGUCUUGCUUUGCCUGCCAGCAGCCAUGAACCUCUGGGGAACCACGGGACCUCUCAGAGACUCCGCGCUCUCUGUGGAAGGGGUGUAACAAAACUCUGCCAGCCUUCGGGACCGAGAAGCGUCUGAAGAUGAGCUCUAGAAUCCACAGGGAGCUUCAAAGGGGGCAAAGACAGCUGUUACCAUGAAGGGUAACGGCUGGGGGCCCGCAGGUGCCCACCCGGGCGGUCUGGGGGGAGAAGUCUGUCUAUUUCUGGCAUACGGUGUGGACCAGCCACGUGGCCACGGAUCCGCGCCACAGAUCAGCUCUUGCAGCCACAAGACACGUUCUGAUCAUCUUUUACCUGCCUCCUGGGAGGCUCUCUGCAAUUGGCAGGAGAAGAAAGGGGCGCCUCUUCAUCGGCUCCCUGAAGCCGUGGCAGCAACGAUUAGUCUUUUUAAGCUUUGCUAUCGGGUCUCUGAACUCCCCCCGUUCGAGGAGGAGCGUGAAGUCGACAGCGGUGUGGCGGUGAGAGAUCACGAGAAUGAGUGUCGUCCUCUCUGCCAGCCCCGGCUUCCGUGGUGCAGCCGGAAACUGGAGACCACCCCCCCCAGCCACCCCAUCUCCGUGCAAUGGCGAGUUCUUGCUACCGACUUGGCCAGGGCCCCAGGCUACCUGACGCCACGGGGCACGCGGGUUUUAUGGAAGUCUGCUGUAAUUAAGAGCUCUAUAAAAUAUUUAGACCGCCAUGCCCAGAUAUAUUAACGAUUAUACGUUUAAAUGUUAAUGGGUGUAAUUAGCUGAAAGAUUAGCCAAGCCUGUCACUAAAUAUACAUUCAGGACUGAUA